rnacentral:rRNA from 1 species
UACGUAGGGGGCUAGCGUUGUCCGGAAUCAUUGGGCGUAAAGAGCGUGUAGGCGGUCCGGUAAGUCCGCUGUGAAAGUCGGGGGCUCAACCCUCGAAUGCCGGUGGAUACUGUCGGGCUAGAGUGCGGAAGAGGCGAGUGGAAUUCCUGGUGUAGCGGUGAAAUGCGCAGAUAUCAGGGGGAACACCUAUUGCGAAGGCAGCUCGCUGGGACGUAACUGACGCUGAGACGCGAAAGCGUGGGGAGCAAACGGG